AUUGAACGCUGGCGGCAGGCUUAACACAUGCAAGUCGAACGAGUGGCGGACGGGUGAGUAAUGCUUGGGAAUCUAGCUUAUGGAGGGGGAUAACUACGGGCAACUGUAGCUAAUACCGCGUACCAUAGGAUGAGCCCAAGUGGGAUAUGGUAGUUGGUGAGGUAAAGGCUCACAAAGCCGACGAUCUCUAGCUGGUCUGAGAGGAUGACCAGCCAAACGGGGACUGAGACACGGCCCAGACUCCUUCGGGAGGCAGCAGGGGUGAAUAUUGCGCAAUGGGGGCAACCUGACGCAGCCAUGCCGAGUGAAUGAAGAAGGCCUUCGGGUUGUAAAGUUCUUUCGGUAGCGAGGCGUUAACUACAGAAGAAGCACCGGCUAACUCCGUGCCAGCAGCCGCGGUAAUUC
rnacentral:rRNA from 1 species